rnacentral:lncRNA from 1 species
GGAUCAGAUUGUCUCUGGACAGAAAUUAUCAGUACUUUUAUAUAUAAUAUAGAUUUAUUUAGUUUAGAUGACAUUGAGGUCUUGUUUCUCAAUGGAGAAUUGUAGUUGGAGCUGAUGCAAUUCUUUGUUAAGGACAAAAAUUGUCAGGGUCCUGGUUCUCAGUCAAUAGGUAAUAGAACCUUCACCACUAUCCUAUAUGAAUCCUAUGCUCCAGUUUUUAACAAUGACAGUUACAUGAUGACCAAGCAAAUAGAGGAGUAUGUUCAUUUGUGGUAUUGGUGAGACUGCAUAACCAAUUAUUUCCAAUUAAAAAGAGAUUAAUUUUCAAUUCUUUUCCUUUUAUGGUCCUUUUGUGUUAUGAACAUGUUAACUAGUGUCAUCAGGACUGGUGUUAAAAUGCCGUAUUUAAAGCUGCAUUGCCAAUGCUUGGCUGCCAAAAGGCUUUUCCUCAUUAUAUUAAGAACAAUUAUAAUUUCUUUUGCAAAUUUGAUUCAUAAAUAUAUUUGCAGCUUAUCUGCUUGGUGUUGUUGUUAUAUAUAUCUCAUCACCCCACCUUAUAAUGAUACUUUCUUAGCUACUAAUCUCUACCAUAACAUCUAUUAAAUAUUUAUACAGCGUGUUUACACUUUUUUUAAAAAAAAAAAAUUGUUUACAACAUUCACAAUGCUAGCCUUUCAAAAUGCUGGUUGAAAUGUAUAACGGAACUAGACAUUAUAAAUAAUGACAUCAUGAAUGAUACUUGAAUAAGUGGUUCCAUGCUCUUUUUUAUUGGCAUAUUGAUAUUUAGGUUGUGACAGAAGCCCACAUUGAUAUUUGGGUUCUCUGCAGCUGGCCACUGC